rnacentral:rRNA from 1 species
GACGAACGCUGGCGGCGGGCUUAACACAUGCAAGUCGAACGGAAAGGCCCUGCUUUUGUGGGGUGUUCGAGUGGCGAACGGGUGAGUAACACGUGAGUGACCUGCCCUUGGCUUGGGGAUAACUUCAGGAAACUGGGGCUAAUACCCGAUAGUAGCUCCGGCUGCAUGGUGGGGGGUGGAAAGUUGCGGCGGGUGGGGAUGGUCUCGCGGCUUAUCAGAUUGUUGGUGGGGUAGUGGCUUACCAAGGCGUUGACGGGUAGCCGGCCUGAGAGGGUGACCGGCCACAUUGGGACUGAGAUACGGCGCAGACUGCUACGGGAGGCAGUAGUGGGGAAUAUUGCACAAUGGGCGGAAGCCUGAUGAAGCAACGCCGCGUGUGGGAUGACGGUCUUCGGGUUGUAAACCGCUUUAGCCUGUGACGAAGCGUGAGUGACGGUAAUGGGUAAAGAAGCACCGGCUAACUACGUG